rnacentral:misc_RNA from 1 species
CUAAGGAGCACUUCUACGUAACUCUUCGAAGAGUCGAAUGAUGUUGCGUCAGAGACCGUUUCGGAAACAUGUGUUUUCCGGCGGACGCUCAUGGGUGGAACACUGACAAGCUUCAUCGCACCAAGGUUUCGGCUCUGUCCGGAAUCGCGGUGAAUAUAUCGGCACACUGUUGGGUCCUGAGAGAACAGACGUUCUUUCCAGGCAAGGUAACGACAAGAUCUGGUGGUCACGCAGACCGCAUCUUCUUUUGAGGGUGGGCAUGGUGGUGAUCGAAGCCAGGUUUUGUGUGUUGUUUGAGAACUGCACAGUGGACGCGAGCAUCUUUGUUUGUAAGUGUUUAAGAGCGUAC